rnacentral:rRNA from 1 species
AAUUUAAAAUUUACUCUGCCCAAUGAUUAUUUUAAUGGCCGCAGUAUUUUGACUGUGCAAAGGUAGCAUAAUAAUUAGUCUUUUAAUUGAUGACUGGAAUGAAAGAGUGGAUGAAAUUAUAACUGUCUUUGUUUAAAUUUUAGAAUUUUAUUUUAAGUUAAAAUUCUUAAAUAUUAUUAAGGGACGAGAAGACCCUGUAGAAUUUAAAAAAUUUUAAUUUUAUUAUUUUAUUAAGAUUUAUUUAAAUUUUUAAUUAAAAUUUUUUUUACUGGGAAGGUAUUUAAAAUUAAUAAACUUUAAAUUAGUUAUAAUCAUUGAUUUAUGAAUUAAUAAAUAAUUAUAAAUUUAUAUAAAAUAAAAUUACCUCAGGGAUAACAGCGUAAUAAAUUUUUAGAGUUCAUAUUAAAAAAUUUGAUUGCGACCUCGAUGUUGAAUUAAAAUAAAAUUUAGGUGUAGAAGCUUAAUAUUUAAGUCUGUUCGACUU